rnacentral:tRNA from 1 species
GUGGGUAUAGCUCAGUGGCAGAGCGCCGGACUGUGGCUCCGGAAGUCGCGGGUUCGAACCCCGUUACCCACCCCA